rnacentral:rRNA from 1 species
ACGGAGGGGGCGAGCGUUAUUCGGAAUUACUGGGUGUAAAGGGUACGUAGGCGGCUCUUCAAGUCGCGUUUCAAAGUCCAGUGCUCAACGCUGGGUGUGCACGCGAUACUGACGGGCUUGAGGGCUGGAGAGGUGAGCGGAAUUCCCGGUGAAGUGGUAAAAAACGUAGAGAUCGGGAGGAACACCAGCGGCGCAGGCGGCUCACUAGACAGUUUCUGACGCUAAGAUACGAAAGCGUGGGGAGCGCACAG